UACGUAGGGGGCAAGCGUUGUCCGGAUUUAUUGGGCGUAAAGAGCGUGUAGGCGGCUUGACAGGUCUGCUGUGAAAACUCGAGGCUCAACCUCGAGAUGUCGGCGGAAACCGUCUGGCUAGAGUCCGGAAGAGGAGAGUGGAAUUCCUGGUGUAGCGGUGAAAUGCGCAGAUAUCAGGAAGAACACCUAUGGCGAAGGCAGCUCUCUGGGACGGUACUGACGCUGAGGUGCGGAAGCGUGGGGAGCAAACAGG
rnacentral:rRNA from 1 species